rnacentral:tRNA from 6 species
GUCCUCGUGGAGCAGCGGAGUGCUCGCUUGCCUGUCACGCAAGAGGUCGUCGGUUCAAAUCCGAUCGGGGACGC